UGAAUCUACACUCUAAAAUAUGUCUAUAUACAUCCGUAUGUCGUUGUCCAUUUGAAAUGUCUAAAAAGACUUAUAUUUAGGAAUGGAGGGAGUACUUGGUAGUGGUUUACUCUGCUUUUCCAGGUUGCAAAAAGGCAAUACUUGUCUGUGCUACUUGCAGUUUACUCCGCUCAUUCUACGGGUACUAAUAGGACCCAUUAGUACAUUCAGGUUGGAUGGCAAGAGGACUAGAGGAUGCCUCAGGCGAGGGUGUCCAGCAAGCACUGUUAAAGAUAUUCGAAGGAACUGUAAUUGCCCAUGCUGUUUAGAAGAGUGGGAGUUUUACAGUGUGCAGACGUGACUAAUCUGACAUAUUUUUCUGCUUCAUAGAUUCUGAACUCGCAUGUAUCAUAUUAUGUCUGUUUGUUUCUAAACAAGAACAAUUUCACAUUUGCAUUGUUAGGUGAUCAGUGUGCCAAGAAAAAGAAGUCGAGAUAUCAUAUCCCAUGGUUAAUGUCGAGGUAAUUGUUUUUAGAACUUCUGAUUAGCACUGGCUGCUGAAACCUGCUACAUAGCCGUAGAUCAGUAACCUUUCAGCAGUCUAGCACCAAAAGUUCCAAAUUAUUUCAUGGUGCUAUGACUUUCAGUCUUCAUUCUAUAUGUGUUGAGGGACACAGCCAACUGAACAUCAAAGAUUGAUGCCCUUGUUUCACAAGCAGUUGGCCCUAGAUGCGCCUUCUCUGACGUGGGGAAGAUUUAUGUCAGAAACUUGCAUAGACAGAUCAUUGAUGGGUGCAUAUUAUUAUUGUACACACAAGCAACCUUAGUUGAAUAGUUCAUUGAUGGGUGGGGAGGGCAGGUCUGCAAGGUGUUGGGAAACCCUUUUCUUGAUGUGAACAAUAUGGUAUGGUAUUGUUCUUAAUUGUCAAUCAAUCCAGGAUUCAACCUUGUUUGCAAAUUCAAGUGUUUGGUUUGAACGAUGACACAAAUCCCAUGCAAGGAACAUGUUAAUAUAGUUUUGUGCAACAUAUAUUUUUCAUCAUAG